rnacentral:rRNA from 1 species
AGCAGCCGCGGUAAUUCCAGCUCCAAUAGCGUAUAUUAAAGUUGUUGCAGUUAAAAAGCUCGUAGUUGAAUUUCGGGAUUUAUCCGUCGGUCGGGCUUUCGGGUCUGUACUGGCGUGAUGGAUUCCUACCUUCUGAAUAACCGGCAUGUCAUUAAUUUGGUGCGCCGGGGAAGCAGGACUGUUACCUUGAAAAAUUAGAGUGCUUAAAGCAGGCUUAUGCCUGAAUACAUUAGCAUGGAAUAAUGAAAUAGGACGGCAUGGUUCUAUUUUGUUGGUUUCUAGGAUCGCCGUAAUGAUUAAUAGGGAUAGUUGGGGGCAUUAGUAUUCAAUUGUCAGAGGUGAAAUUCUUGGAUUUAUUGAAGACUAACUUCUGCGAAAGCACUUGCCAAGGAUGUUUUCAUUAAUCAAGAACGAAAGUUAGGGGAUCGAAGACGAUCAGAUACCGUCGUA